GACGAACGCUGGCGGCGUGCUUAACACAUGCAAGUCGAACGGAAAGGCCCCUUUGGGGGUACUCGAGUGGCGAACGGGUGAGUAACACGUGAGUAACCUGCCCUUGACUUCGGGAUAACUUCAGGAAACUGGGGCUAAUACCGGAUAGGAAUCCUUGCUGCAUGGCGGGGGUUGGAAAGCUUCGGCGGUUUUGGAUGGACUCGCGGCUUAUAAGCGGGUUGGUGGGGUAGUGGCUUACCAAGGCGUUGACGGGUAGCCGGCCUGAGCGGGCGACCGGCCACCUUGGGACUGAGCUCCGGCCCAGACUCCUACGGGAGGCAGAAGUGGGGAAGAUUGCGCCAUGGGCGGCAGCCUGAUGCAGCAACGCCGCGUGCGGGAUGACGGCCUUCGGGUUGUAAACCGCUUUCAGCAGGGGCGAAGCUUGUGGUGACGGUACCUGCAGAAGAAGCACCGGCUAACUACGUG
rnacentral:rRNA from 1 species